UACGUAGGGGGCAAGCGUUGUCCGGAUUUAUUGGGCGUAAAGAGCGUGUAGGCGGCCAGGUAGGUCUGCUGUGAAAACUCGAGGCUUAACCUCGAGCUGUCGGCGGAAACCAUCUGGCUAGAGUCCGGAAGAGGAGAAUGGAAUUCCCGGUGUGGCGGUGAAAUGCGCAGAUAUCGGGAAGAACACCCGUGGCGAAGGCGGUUCUCUGGGACGGUACUGACGCUGAGACGCGAAAGCGUGGGGAGCAAACAGG
rnacentral:rRNA from 1 species